UAUAUUUGCACCCGAAUUGGAAUAAUAUCCAUUUCAUACAUAAUAAUCAUUUAAAAUAAUAUUAGCAUG
rnacentral:ncRNA from 1 species